UACGUAGGGUGCAAGCGUUGUCCGGAAUUAUUGGGCGUAAAGGGCUCGUAGGCGGUCUGUCACGUCGGGAGUGAAAACUCAGGGCUUAACCCUGAGCCUGCGUCCGAUACGGGCAGACUAGAGGUAUGCAGGGGAGAACGGAAUUCCUGGUGUAGCGGUGAAAUGCGCAGAUAUCAGGAGGAACACCGGUGGCGAAGGCGGUUCUCUGGGCAUUACCUGACGCUGAGGAGCGAAAGUGUGGGGAGCAAACGGG
rnacentral:rRNA from 1 species